rnacentral:rRNA from 1 species
UACGUAGGGGGCUAGCGUUGUCCGGAAUCAUUGGGCGUAAAGAGCGUGUAGGCGGUCCGGUAAGUCCGCUGUGAAAGUCGGGGGCUCAACCCUCGAAUGCCGGUGGAUACUGGCGGGCUAGAGUGCGGAAGAGGCGAGUGGAAUUCCUGGUGUAGCGGUGAAAUGCGCAGAUAUCAGGAGGAACACCUAUUGCGAAGGCAGCUCGCUGGGACGUAACUGACGCUGAGACGCGAAAGCCUGGGGAGCGAACAGG